rnacentral:lncRNA from 1 species
UGCCGCCCUCAUUUGUUUUUGUUUUUUUAUUCUUGUUAUUAUGAUGUAUUAAAUUUUAGUCUGCUAAACAAACAUCACAAUUUAAUAAUUUAAAAGAACCUGAUGUACGUCAAGCUUUGAAAACUGGAAGUUAUCACUAGGGAUGGAUGUACCACAAGAUAUUAACGUGUCCGACUUAGACGUAGACGAGCAAGCGGUUGCGCACUGCCUAUCCAAGCAUGGUCUAUGAUACUCCUUUUGUAAACCUGUACUCCAAGUAACCAACACAUUCAUAUUUCUUCAAUUUGCUGAGAAUUAACCAGCCACUGGGAAGAAGAUGUUGAUUUUGUCCGCCCUUGGAUAGGAGCCAAAAGACUGAAGUGUUGCAAUACUUUUGACCAGCCGCGUACCAGAGGUGGAAAGAGAGAACAAGCUGUAAUGAGGAGAGUCGUAUAGAUACUUGAACGGACAGCUGGGCCGGCCUUCAAAUCCACCAAAAAAAUUGUUAUCAGGGCCUAGCAUUAUCAACUGACAUUUUGAAUACGUCGCUGAAAACAAUCACAGUUAAACACUUCAACAAAAUGUCUAUUUAACGUGCGUGUUUUUUUUUUUACCUUUUUCAUGUGACGCGUUUAGUCUGGAUUUCAGGUUUUGGAUGUGUUCAGAAACAGCAAGACAAUCCUAAAUAAUCCUGCUGAUUUUCGGCUGAUGCGAUUGUCAUUCCUACCAGUUGACAGGUAAGCAGAUCAGUGAGGCGGUUGCGCAUCAACGUGGCACGGCACCGUGAAAUCAAAUGCGGUUGUCCAAAUUCUACCGGUAGUCUUGGAGAUGAGCAACACUACUGGGGAAGAAUCGAGGAAAUCACUUUCCUAGUUCAUAGUGAUUUAUUCCCGGACCCCUGGUACAUGUGACGCAACCAAUCGCGUCAUCAGAAUCCGAAGAGUUACAGUAUACAUCUGUGGACGACUUCUGUGCAUGGCCAGUACGGCUAGUAAGAACCUGUGUUCUGGAGUCAACAGGCACGAGAUCGCCAAAAGGAAACAAGUUUGUUCGACUUCUCGAAUCUGUUACCAUCCAGUCCAAGUUUGCAAAUGACCACCGCGUAUAGUUGAUCGGGUUGAUCUUGAACGGCCAGAGAGAUAUCACUAUCAGCUGCUAUUUACACUGGCGACAGUAUAACAUCAUGCUCGCAUCUUAAAUUGGAACUUGUUGUGGACGGCCACCUGCCCUGAAAUGGACCUUCCCAGAGGACGACAGCAAUUGACAAGAAAUUUGAAUACGGCUGAAUUGCACCGUUGGACAUGAAGCACUUUUGCAAACAGCCAUUGGUUAUUCAUUUGCCUCGUUCGAACGGUGUGCACUAACUGUGCUUGUCAACAGACAGGUAAAUGACACCUAUUGUAGUCAUUGAGAUGAGCAGCACUACUAGAGAAGAACCGAAAGAGUCACUUUCCACGUUCAUCGUCAUUUAUUGUCGGAGCCCUGGAUCAUGUGAAGAUCACGUCAUCGGAAUCCGAAGAGCUGCAAGACACAUGUGUGAACGCCUUCUGUGUACGACAGUGACGCAUAAAUUGUGUGAGGACCAGCAUUUCUACGGCCAGUUAGAACAUGUGUACUGGAGCCAACAAUCACGAGAUCACUAAAAGGUAACAAGAUCAGCGAUAAUAUAAACGCACGGCGAGGCUGAAAUGGCAAAUGAAAAUCAUCAUCAAUCAUCAGGCGGGCAAGCAGACGAAGAAUUCGUCGAUAGCCUUUUCUUUUCCGGCUGCACAAGAAAAUCCUGUUCCAUUCUUCCAGAAAUUAGGUGGUUUCCUAGUGCUUGUGUGUGCCUCACGCUUUCCCGAUGGGUGAUUAAACUUGAGGCCGUUUUGAUUGGGGAACCUUUUGGUGUCCUUCGCGUUUUAGCAGAAUGCACGUUGGCCUGAGCUGAUGCACUUGACGGUGGCGAUCCUUCUUCUCUCUGAAGCGAGCGGGGAAACCCCUGUCACCUAACUUGAUGGCAUUUCAUAUUCAACGCGCCCCUGGGCAGGAAAACCGGACGUACGGAGUGAAUGCAGAAAAUGGUGAAUCCAAAAUGAAUUGUGGUCAUUUGUAUGCACGGUCUAAAGGCAGCCCUGUAUAAAAGGAGGAUGAUUUUCGCGUUAUUUAUGCACUAAUAAGUCCAGUUGACUUAAGCACGUUUCAGUUCCAGCAGUUAUCCCGUCAUGAAAUCCAGAAUCAUUGUGUCAUCGGCGUUUUCCUUUUGACUAAACUAACAACCAGGAUGAACAAAUUAGAAGAUGCGAUGAAGAAUCUCAACGCGAAUUCCCAAGCAACCGCAGGUGAGCUGAGGAUCAUCAAAUCGGAUCUUUCGAAAUUAGAAAAAACUGUGGAUGCAACCAAAGAUAAGCUGGCAACGUUCAAAUCGGAUCUGGAUGCAGUUAAAAGAACUGCUGACGCAAGCAAAAAACACGGUGGCAACCAUCAAAAGAGAUGUGGGCACAAUUAGAAGUGAUCUUGACGCAACCAAAGCUACAGUGGCGACUUUACAAAUAAUUUGAGCACUGUCAAGGAAUCUGUAGAUGAAACUAAAACUACGGUGACGAAUUUAGAAACGGAUUUGAGCGCCGUCAAAUAAACAAUAGAGGGUUUGAGUGAGACGACCUCUAUUGAUCACAUGCCCACUUCAUGCCUCGAUCUACAGGAAUUGGGCAACAUCAAAACGGAUUGUACAACAUCAAGUCGUCCACUAAAGUUGCCACUGUUUUUUUGGCGACUUCACCAAAGAUCCUAAUGAUGCAGAUUUUCAGCAAACGAUUGGUUCUCUCAAUGUGCAAACCGCCCCGUCUAUUUUAACGUCCUUGGAACGAGUCCUUGUCAUGUUUCCAAAAGCGGAUUAACAUGAUAAGCUUUUUAGUCGUAGGAUUAUUUAGGGGCAAAGCUUAGAUGCAGUUGUUGUUGAAUUUAUUUAUGUCUUUUAGCGUUUCACUCCUGAUUUCCCUAAACAAAUUAUUUAUAAAUUAAUACAGAAAAUUUGUCUGCAAAAAUGUUUUCACUUUUCCACGGAAAAUAAUAAAUGUCUUUGCGAUUUUACGUGAUGGGCACAAUUAAAAUAUUUCAGCUGCAUUUUAUUCCUUUUACCUGCGCUAUUUGACAUCUUAUUGAUUAAAUCUGAAAUGAGAUUUCCUUGUUUUCCAAUUUGUCAAACUCAAAAUGGCAGAAGGGAAAGCGGCGAGAAGAAUAACAAACAAUGGCAACGUUAUCGCACACCCUUCCUCCUUUCUUCAUUUGGAUCGCCAUUUACGUCGCAGAAAAUUUACCCAGUGCGAUUCCUUCUAAUUAUUUUGGAUUAGGUGUAUCUCCAAAUUACGUAAUGUCUUAUUAAGUAAGAGGAACAAAAAUUUUAAAAUUUGGAUUGUCUUGUGAUUACCAGCAUUGAACUGCUAUUUAUUUCCAUUGGUGUCGUAUUUCUUUGUGAAAAACGUGGUUCGUGGGCGGACUUAUCGGUGUGUAUUUGUGUUCAUCCAGGCCGCUGCCCUUUAGAUUGAGUGAGAUGUAAUGAAAUUCGAUUUAUUGAAAAGGUGGGCCCUUAAAGUUUUGGUGUCGUUGAAAAAUUAUUUUAAUUUCAUCGUGAAUCUGUCUUGAAGAGAAUGGACAACCAACAUCUUCAUGUGUCACAUCGACCAUUUUAGAGCUUGUAUCCAGAUCUGGUCUCCUUUGGCCAAUCGCAGCGUCGAUUGCACCGAAAAUGUUUCAAACUGUACGCCAUUGGAGAUCUCGUCACAGUCGCCAGCGAAGAAGAAUAGAAUAUAGAAGGCCUUCGCUGUGCAGCGUUUGAAUGCAAUUCAGGGCGACAGAAGUUCUCUGCUCCAUUUCCAGAGAAAUAUUUGCAAAUGAUGCACUUAAAGAAUGACCUGAAUCCAUCCCUUUGUUGGCUCACAAAUCGUCGGCUCCGACUUUCAGAAUCUUCUCUGGCCACAUUUCGUCUUUUUGGCGCAAUUUCGGCUGCGAUCGUGUCAUAGAGUGGGGAGGUGCUAUAGCUGACAUCGUAUUCGAUCUGAACAAGAGUGUGGGCCUGUUUUUAAGUUAUAAAUGGGGAAAGAUCAAAGGAUUAGCUGUUUCCCAAAUCAGAAUCCCUUGUUGUCCUUAACUUUUGAAGGUCAUGGCAGUGAAAUUGUUUAUUUUUCAUUUUCUCGAUAGAUGUCUGCCCUUUUAAUUAAUCUUAAAAUAAAUUCUUUAUCAGCCCAAUAAAAAACAAAUGGCCAGCCAUUGUCAGGAUAUAAUAAAAUGGUGGUUUAAAACAAUCACUUAAAUACUUGAAUUAUCAAAUGGGUGUGCUGUUCAAGUGAGUCACGCACUUUGACACUUGACUUGAGGCCACUUUGAUUUUUGUUUUGUUUCAUCGUCCUUUCAUGGACAGAAACCAGUCUGUAAAUUAGCAUUGAUUUUACAACCAACGAUAAGUGUUGAAUGACCUUGAGACAUUAAAAAAAAAAAUUUUCUUUGUUUAUUUUUUCUUGUGGUUGUCUAUAUGAUAAAGUUGUUUUUUAUUUGCCCUUUAAUGGACGAAGAAAACUUCAUUUAUCGUAACACAGAAUCUUUGUAUUUCUCAUCUGGAUAUCCUCGUUAAUUUUAUCAUUUCAUAUUUUAUGAACAAGCAAGGGGCAACACUAUGGCCUUGCUGUCGUCGCCUACAUUUGUCAGGUUUGCAACAAGCCAAUAUUUUAUGUUUUCUACUUGAUUUCACUUCACUUUUACUCUUCUAUUUCACCAGCUCUACCACUCGAGUCUUUUUCCUUUUCUUAUCUUGGGCGUGCAAAGCGAUUCUGGUUGGCAAGUCAACUUUGUCAGCGUCAAAUUACGUGUUUUCCCAUUCGGCAAAGUCCUCAUUUCACCGCUCUUACGUCCAACUCAACUGAAAAUGGCCUCGCCAUUAUCUUCAAGUCAUGCUGGAAAUGUACACGGCAUUCAGUUUGAUCGCUCACAUCUUUUCGGGGAGGAUGGCUAUACUUCAGUGUUACAUGGUACAUUGAAUGGUCAAAGGGUAGCAAUCAAAAGAAUCGAGGUGACCAGAGGCACAAAUCAAACAACUGACAACAAGUAAAAAAUUCUGCAGCAGUUAAACCAUCCGAAUGUCGUCAAACUUCUUCACUAUGAACACGACAACACUAUGAACACGACAACAAUUUUAUGUAAGAUUCUUUUUUCUUGUUUUUAACCAAAAAUAAAUUAUCAUAAUGAUUUUCGUUUAUCUCUUUGCCGUGUUUAAAGGUACUAUGCAUUUGAAUGGUGUAACACCUCGUUAUCUCAGCUGUUCUUGAAGUCGGAUGACCCCAAAAAAUACGAUGGACCUAUGCCACAUCAUAUUGAUGCUUUGUUUCAAUUGGCUUCUGGUCUCAAACAUAUUCAUUCACAGAAUUUAGUUCACGGAAACAUUAAACCAGAAAAUGUCCUGAUCUCGGUAAGAUCUGGUGGCAAAGAUGAUAUAACUCUCAAAUGGGCAAACUUUGGACUGACCAGAAACGUCAGUGAACGAGGAAGAGGGAAAACAAAUCAAGUGGGGGGAGAUAACACGUGGUUGGCACCCGAGUUGCUGUCGUUUAAACUAAAUAGCAACGUAGAAGAAAACAAUUACAAAGAGACCGCCAAGAGCGACGUCUUUGCACUAGGACUCGUUUUCGGAAGUCUAUUCUCGAACGGUGAACAUCUCCACAUAAUUGGAUUAAUUCUUUUUCAGUGAGCUAAAUUGAAUUAAUUUACAUUUUUAAAGAUGGUCGAAUUGCAUUAAAUUGGUUAUACCUUCUCCUUGAUGGCUUUUAGUUGACUAACGCGUUGACUAACUUGUGUCGAUGUCAUCCUUUUGUCAGGGGCGUGUUCCAACAUUUUUUUCAUUGGGUCAUUCUCGUAACAGUCGCGUAAUUUGCCGCCAAUUUCUAAAACAAAGUCACGAUUUAUUCAUUCACCAUAAAAUCAAAAGGAUUUUUAUCUAUAUGAGGAAUUACUUUGCAUGUUGAUGGGAUUCCCUUCAAUUAUGUUUUGGGGAAUUUCAUUUUCAUUUCCCAUGGGACCGUAGAGAUGUUCACCGUUCAAGAUUAGACUUCCAAAAACGAGUCCUAGUGCAAAGACGUCGCUCUUGGCGGUCUCUUUGUAAUUGUUUUCUUCUACGCUGCUAUUUAGUUUAAACGACAGCAACUCGGGUGCCAACCACGCGUUAUCUCCCCCGACUUGAUUUGUUUUCCCUCUUCCUCGUUCACUGUCGUUUCUGGUCAGUCCAAAGUUUGCCCAUUUGAGAGAUCUUAUCUUUGCCACCAGAUCUCACCGAGAUCAGGACAUUUUCUGGUUUGAUGUCUCCGUGAACUAAAUUCUGUGAAUGAAUGUGUUCGAGACCAGAAGCCAAUUGAAAUAAAGCAUCGAUAUGAUGUGGCAUAGGUCCAUCGUAUUUUUUGGGGUCAUCCGACUUCAAGAACAGCUGACAUAACGAGGUGUUACACCAUUCAAAUGCAUAGUACCUUUAAACACGGCAAAGAGAUAAACAAAAAUCAUUAUGAUAAUGUUUUUCGGUUAAAAACAAGAAGAAAGAAUCUUACAUAAAAUUGUUGUCGUGUUAACAGUGAAGAAGUUUGACGACAUUCGAAUGGUUUAACUGCUGCAGAACUUUUAACUUGUUGUCAGUUGUUUGAUCUGUGCCUCUGGUCACCUCGAUUCCUUUGAUUGCUACCCUUUGACCAUUCAAUGUGCCACGUAACACUGAAGUAUAGGCAUCCUCCCCGACAAGAUGUGAGCGAUCAAACUGAAUGCCGUGUACAUUUCCAGCACGAUUUGAAGAUAAUGGCGAGGCCAUUUUCAGUUGAGUUGGACGUAAGAGCGGUGAAAUGAAGACUUUGCCGAAUGGGAAAACACGUAAUUUGACGCUGACAAAGUUGACUUGCCAACCAGAAUCGCUUUGAUGGUACCAUUUAUAUUACCUGCAAUUAUCAAAUAAAUUUAAAGUUUAAUGGAGAUAAUGGUUUUACAGUGUAUCUGAAAAUCCGUGUAAAAGGCUGUGACGUUUAUUUACGUGCCUUUUUCAAGUUUUACCAGAUUUGUUUUAUGUUUUUUACUUUUAGAAGGUCGAAUUAAAGGACAUGCAUAGCACGAGAAAAAGAAAGGCAGACACGGGCACGCCCGUAUUCUGCAUUGACUAAACAAGGAAAAACUAAGCAAUUUUAAAAUCUAAUUAUUUUGUUUUUGGAAGAGGGAUCUUUACCUUGUCCGUCAUUUCCGUUCAAUAUUCCUCAAUGGAAAACGGAAAAAUAAUGCCAGUUAAGGCCACAAUUCACUUUUGGGAUUUCCUUUGUCCUUCUAAAUGUCGUGAGCGGUGUUAACUUGUGAGAAUGGCGAGUGAGAGCUGGGUGUGGCAGGGAGUUGGUUUCUUAUCAGUUCUUUUUUGUCAAGUUCCUUCUAGACAUUUUUCAUUCCACCGCCAGAGGGGUUCGUGUUUCCAUUAUUUCGUGUUUCCAUUAUUUCGUGGACAAACAUGGUUGAUGUAUGGCUUGAGUAGCGGGCACGCCAAUGCAUCCAUCGCCUUUAAAAGUCAUGUAUUGGAAGAGACUUAAAGCUAAAAACUAGGUGGCAGCACAUAGCAGGACUACGGACGACAGUGGCGGUUAUUGCUCCAAUACCAGAUGGCAGUGUAUAACGAAGGACCAUGGCAGAGAAAAAGAAAACAAAAGGAAUAGAUCUAUGCUGUAUGCAGUUUUAUAGUGUGACGUCAUUGAUACGUGGAACCAUGGACUACUCUAUUGUUAAGGACGGGACUGUUCGACAUUUCCUAUGCCACCCAUCCACAGUGACACCCUUUAACACGGCGGGAUAGGGAAACUUUCCCGUCCUUAACAAUAGAGUAGUCCAUGGUGGAACACGAAAAUGUAAACUGCAUUUUGUUUCCUUGUCCCCCUCCGCCUCGAGGCAGUUUGGACAAAUUCGUAAAAAAUCCCGGAUACAACUUAUCGACACCUCUAAUCUUGAGUAAGUUUCACUUGAAAGGGCUGGCACAUUGAAGUGAUAUGGAUCCUUCUUUCACGUUUACGUCCGUUCUUCCAUCGUCUAAAGAUGAAAAACCUAGCCGAUGUCAAAUUAUCGUUAAUGCCAUUUAGGGAAAUUUUGAGGCUGAACGAAAGUUGCCUUGUUGCAGUUUACUUCAGUGGAAAAGAUGAUUUGCUGCACUGCCACCUUUAGGCCUAGGGUUCAACAUUCCGAUGGAAGGCGCAUUGGCAUCUACCAAUGCUAUAACACCAACAAUUUGAAUAUGCCAGUCAGCAAUACUAUGACGGAUGUGUUGAGUCCAGAAGAUCCAGAUUUAAUUGUGCCGGGGAACGAAGAGAUCGACGUUCAACAGAUACACGAAACUUCGCUCGACCGUUACGACAGCUGCUACAUUUCCAACGGCAAAUCGGGUGAAGAAAUCGCGAAUGAUGGACGAACAAAAUAUUGUAACAUGUAACUGAAGGUGGACGUAGCAACUUCCACGUCAUUUAGUACGCCAGUGCCGAAACGACGUGCAUAUGCAGAUCAAAAGGAAAAUAAUUUCACGUUAAUUCCAUCGUCGUCUUUGUUGUUGUCAUCAUUAUCUUUGCUAUGAUCGCAGUUGCGGUUUCAUCAAAAGGUUGUCAAACAUUUGAAUUUAAUCAUUUUAUCCUAAAAAAUCUCACCCAAUAGUUUCGAUUAAUUCCGAAUGGAUGUAGCGAAUCUAAGGCGAGCUGAUGGUCGUAAUGGAAUUUUUCGCCCACGACAAUUUGUAAGAUUUUGUAUGCCCAAUUGCCGCCAUUUCGUGAACGUAUUGGAUAAAUAUGACAAUCUUUCACCUCACUAUCAACAGAAAGUUGGCUCCAGUUCGUCCCUCAAUCUCUCUUCUGUUCCGUUCAGCAAAUGCAGUAGCGUUGUCAUGUUUGGGGUAUCCAAAGCGAUGGAGGACAUAGUAGAAGGUUGAUAGCUAAAAAAGGAGUUGCAUUAACGGAGGUAUUUGAUAUCCGUAAAUGAGUGAAACCUGAAAAAAAAAAAAAACGAGGAUUUGGCGUUUAAUCAAAUGAGAGCCCUCUGAGGAAUGUGUUGGCUGUUUGGUUUUUGGAGCCAUCACCACCGGAUUCUAACGUCGCAUUUUCAAUCAUUCAAUUUGAAUUCGUAUGUACAAAUGACUCGUGUUCCUGAGGUUGAAGCUCUUGGGGAAAAAAAUUGGCGAAAGUUAAAAAUGAAAAUUGUUUCAUUUUUUAUAACCCCUUGAGAAAAACAAAUAAGACAUGAAAAUUUGAUAAAAUGAAAUACAAAAAGAUAAAAAUUAAUUUCGUUUGAAAGAGGUGCAAAUAUGGCAGCCCUGUUGGCUGUUACCUUAAGGAGUAGGGAAAAUUGUUUACUCAAUCGCACUUACCCACUUAAAGUUGUCGGAGAAACAAUGGCGUUCUUCUGCAGGGGAUAUUUUUUUUGUAUUUAUUUUUUUAUUUUAACAAGUAACACGUGAGUUAAAGACAUGAAAAUGAAACCGUUUCGUCUGUCGUUUGACUCCCGUUGUUUUAGUGCUUUAUUGUUUCGAAAGAAACGUGGAUUGUGAGCUCCUUAUCUGCGUGCAUCUGUCGUCAUCCAGGCUGCUACCAUUUCGAUUAUGUAAUAUAAAAUGAAAUUCGACAUUUUUAACUAGAGGUGUUUAAUAGUUUUUGUUUGGUCCCGAAUCUCGAAAAUCUCGAAUAUUCCGAGUGAAUGGUAAACCAGUCGUGAAGUGAACAGCUUCGGGUGCUACGUGGUUUAUUUGUGGACGAAUUCCAUUCGUAAUUGCAUUCAUCACAGAAGUUUGCGAUGACAUUCGACGCGUUUCCAUUUCGGGCAAAUGUUUCAUCCUGUAACGUCUCCAUUUACGAGUCGAUAUGUAACGACUAGAUAGCCUAUAAGAUCGACAAAGUGCUCUGGAUAAACAUUGCAACUGAUUUUCCAAGUCUUUGUUUUUCUUACCCUACCUUAGUGUGAAGAAUUAACCACCUAAUGGCAGUCCGUGUUGAAUUUUUUGUAUACGCUUUGCAAUGGGCAGACGAUUCAGUCGGGCUCGGACAUUACGAAUUUCAGUUUCACCAGGGUCGAGGCAAACUAUCUUGAGAAAAUCUAGUUUAUUUUAUACUUAAACGAAUGAAGGACUACAACAACAGCAAAGUGACCGUUUUAAGAUAACGAGUGUCGAGUCUUUGUCUAAUCACCCCUGGGCAAGCGCAGCUUCGUCGAGGAGUUUAAGAAUUUCUUUCUUUUUUGGGUUGCUCAGUUCAUUGUUUUUGCGUAAAAUAGAUCGUGGGUCGUUGCCUUUGGGUAUGACGCGAAUCCCAUUUUGGAUUAAUAUUCUUAUUGCUUCUUCUGAGUUUGAGGUUGAAUAGUUUCCACACAAAAAAUGAAGAGCAUUUUCUCCAUAUUUGUUCGUUGCGUUGACGUCAAUUCCCUUUUCGAUCAAGGUUUUCAUCGCGUCGAUAAAACUUGAGUUUCCUUUGUUUCGACACAAAUAAUGGAGCGCGUUCAGUUCAUGGUUGCCCUUUGCAUUCACGUCGAUUCCCUGUUCGAUUAACAGUAUAAUUGCAUCGAUUAACGUCGAGCUUGAAUUCAAUUCGCACAAAAUGUGUAGCGCAUUUUUUCUAAAUCGGUCCUUUGCUUUGAUGUCGAUUCCUUUCUUAAUUAGUUUUUCAAUUUCUAUUGUUAGAUCCGACGAAUUUUCAAGGGCACAUAAUCGACGCAAUUCUUCUUCGCGUGCAAUCCGAUGCGAUUUUUCCUCGCGUGCAAUCCGAUUCGAAUCUAAUAGAAAAUUGUCAAGAUGGUUGUUCGAUUCUGGAGUGUGUGCAGUUUCCCUGGAAUUUGAUAGUUCGUCGACGACUUGUGCCGAUGUUAUUCUUAUUUUAAGGUCGUCUUCCAACAUAUGACUAAUGAAUUUCUAUCUCGUCGUUACCGUAAAGAUGUUUGCCGUUCAAGAAAAGGUAACCGACGACGAGGCCUAGGACAAACACAUCGCUCUGAACGGUGCCUCGAGGCUCAUCUUCCUCUUGCGCGUUUUCCAGCAAUUUCAGGGACUCGGGGGCGCGCCAUUUUUUUGUUCCUCUGAUAUCGCUCAACGUGAACGUCCCCCGCUCAUUUACGGCUUUUGACAGUCCAAAGUCAGCCCAUUUGAUUAUUGUCUCGUCAUCUUGGCGAGGAGGUCGCUUUAUGAGCACGUUUCCUGGUUUAAUGUCUCGAUGAAUGAAUUUCUUUGAAUGGAUGUAUGCCAGGCCAACAGCUAAUUGACGAAACACUUCGAUAUUAGAUGGCCUAGGUCCGUUAUAUUUUUUGGGAUCGUCCGACUUUAGAUAUAGCUGAUCCAAAGAGGCGUCGCACAAUUCCAUUGCGUAGUACCUGAAACACCGCAACAAAGAAACAAACUGCAUUAUUUCAUGUUUUACUUUUGAGCAUACGAAAAAAAAACCUCACCUGAAAUUUUUGUCGCUUUCACAAUGGAAAAGUUGGACGAUGUUUGGAUGAGUCUGAAGCUCUCGCAAAGCUUUUUCUUCGUUUGCAUUUACGUUUGCAUUUGCUAGUAAAACUUGUUUUACUGCUACUGCUUCAUUUUCAAACUCUCCUCUAAACACGAAGCCAUAACCACCACUUCCUAAUAUAUCAUCCCGGCUGAACUUUAUUUUCAUUUCCACCAUACUUUCGAUGCACACGAGUAAAAGAAUGUUCAAUGGUUUUUUUUUUUUUUCUUUUGUGUUUGACUUCUCGAAUCUGUUUCCAUCCAGUCCAAGUUUGCAAAUGACCACCGCGUAUAGUUGAUCGGGUUGUUCUUGAACGGCCAGAGAGAUAUCACUAUCAGCUGCUAUCUACACUGGUGACAGUAAUCACUGAAAUAUAUUUUACGCAACCAACGAGACGUAUUUGAACCAGUUAUGGACGGCAUUUUUUUCUGAAAUGGACAAAUUGACAAACAAUUGGAAUACGACUGGCUGUUGCAGACGACACUAAUUUAAAGACAAAAUAUUAGCUGUCUUCGAUGGUCUGGGCAUUGCUGUUGAAUGACGUAGGAUAUUUCACAUCACGACCACCUUAAUGAUAGAAGUCAUUGAACAUGUGUCACAAAUCAAGUCGCUGACUAUGUGAAUUGCAAGGGUCGACAUGAAUCAUGUUUGCAAACGGCCAUCGGUUACUCUUUGGCCUCGUUCAAUCAGUGUGAACUAGCUGUGCUCGACAACAGACAGUGUUUACUUCAUUUGAUGACCAAAAGCAGUGAAUCUCAAAUGAUUUUGAAAUCAAAAUUUGAAUUUGUGUGUUGUUUCCUGAAGCAAAUGCAAAGUUCUGUUGGAUGACCAAACCAUAGGUCUGCUAAAAUGAGCUCACAUUUACAUCAUAUUUAUUGAUGGUACACAUUUUCUGUCGUCGUUAGUCUUCCUGUCCAGUGGCUCUCAAUGGUUUAUUAGACCGCCCAAUUUGGCAGCUGUGCUCCAGAACCAGUGUUUAUCCUAGCUGAAAAGAAAAAACUAACUAUAAAGAGGAGAAUCGUACAGACGCUUGGACGAACAACUUGGACGGCGAGAACGAGUGAAGCCAAACAGUAGGAUCGGUUGAUGGCAUCAACUUGAUGCCCAGUCUACCAUGUCCUUUUCGUGAGCGUCUCCGUCGUGAUGGCCUUCCUUCGUAUCCUGUUACUCAGGUUUUCAGCAACACGUAGAAACUGUAGAUGUAAAACUUGUCCGUCCUAAAGCAGAGUAAUUCGGAUACGGUCAUAAUGAAUUUCGACAUUGAAAAUCUCAACGUGGGAGGGGCGAUGGAUACAAAAGGAGGGAUGUCCUUAGCACCCGUAGCCGAAAAGCUUUUUUUUUUUUCGUUAACGGUACCUCCUGAUUACGACUCAAGUACGUGUUAGGUUUAUUUACUUAAAAAUGCGAACGUGCUCCGAUACGCGACGGUGGGUAACCGGGUCCACUUUUCAAGUGAGAUCUUUGCAUCUUGAAGCGACUGUUCACCUGGCUACGGGUGAUUCGGUCUGGUUGUAUCUUUAUGUUCAAGUAACACGCUUGUGGUAGAUGCUCAUUUUACAGGUCCUACUGGCAUGCUGUUGAUGGAAGACAUUUUAAAUCUCAGGUAAUUACUGAAUAGUGCAGCAGCAAUAUUCGUGAAGGGUGACCUUGCAAUCCGCUUUAAAGAGUUCACCAAGUACCAUAUGUAGAGGUUUUAAAAAAUUGAAUAAUGUAAUGGAAAUGUUUUAGCCAUAGUGUAUGGUCUAGUGGCCAAGCAGACACCGUAUUCUUGUCAAUUCCUGUGUGUUUUAGAGUUACAAUCAUGACUGCUUUAAACGAAUUAAUUGAGAAGAAAAAUUUGCAAACGUAUUUAUGCUUCUAAAUUUGUAAGUUAUCUGAUAUGAAAUCGAACAAUAAACUGGUAUUUUUAAAAAGGG